GGCUUAGAGUUUGAUCAUGGCUCAGGAUGAACGCUGGCGGCGUGCCUAACACAUGCAAGUCGAGCGGGGUCUUAUUGGAGCUUGCUUUGAUAAAACUUAGCGGCGGACGGGUGAGUAACGCGUGGGUAACCUGCCCUAUACACAGGGAUAACAUUGAGAAAUUAAUGCUAAUACCAGAUAAGCUAACGAUAAGGCAUCUUAUUGAUAGAAAAGCUGAGGCGGUAUAGGAGGGGCCUGCGUCUGAUUAGCUAGUUGGUGGGGUAAAGGCUCACCAAGGCGACGAUCAGUAGCCGACCUGAGAGGGUGAUCGGCCACAUUGGAACUGAGACACGGUCCAAACUCCUACGGGAGGCAGCAGUGGGGAAUAUUGCACAAUGGGGGGAACCCUGAUGCAGCAACGCCGCGUGAAGGAAGAAGUAUUUCGGUAUGUAAACUUCUAUCGACAGGGAAGAAAGAGAUGACGGUACCUGAAUAAGAAGCACCGGCUAAAUACGUGCCAGCAGCCGCGGUAAUACGUAUGGUGCGAGCGUUAUCCGGAUUUACUGGGUGUAAAGGGUGAGUAGGCGGUUAAGCAAGUCAUAUGUGAAAUUCUGGGGCUCAACCUCAGAGCUGCAUAAGAAACUGUUUAACUAGAGUACAGGAGAGGUAAGCGGAAUCCCUAGUGUAGCGGUGAAAUGCGUAGAUAUUAGGAAGAACACCGGUGGCGAAGGCGGCUUACUGGACUGGAAACUGACGCUGAGUCACGAAAGCGUGGGGAGCGAACAGGAUUAGACACCCUGGUAGUCCACGCUGUAAACGAUGAGUGCUAGGUGUUGGGGAGAGAUUCUCGGUGCCGUAGCAAACGCAAUAAGCACUCCACCUGGGGAGUACGAC
rnacentral:rRNA from 1 species